AGACCCGAAACCCGGUGAUCUAGCCAUGGGCAGGUUGAAGGUUGGGUAACACUAACUGGAGGACCGAACCGACUAAUGUUGAAAAAUUAGCGGAUGACCUGUGGCUGGGGGUGAAAGGCCAAUCAAACCGGGAGAUAGCUGGUUCUCCCCGAAAGCUAUUUAGGUAGCGCCUCGUGAAUUCAUCUCCGGGGGUAGAGCACUGUUUCGGCUAGGGGGCCAUCCCGGCUUACCAACCCGAUGCAAACUGCGAAUACCGGAGAAUGUUAUCACGGGAGACACACGGCGGGUGCUAACGUCCGUCGUGAAGAGGGAAACAACCCAGACCGCCAGCUAAGGUCCCAAAGUCAUGGUUAAGUGGGAAACGAUGUGGGAAGGCCCAGACAGCCAGGAUGUUGGCUUAGAAGCAGCCAUCAUUUAAAGAAAGCGUAAUAGCUCACUGGUCGAGUCGGCCUGCGCGGAAGAUGUAACGGGGCUAAACCAUGCACCGAAGCUGCGGCAGCGACGCUGAUGCGUUGUUGGGUAGGGGAGCGUUCUGUAAGCCUGUGAAGGUGUGUCGUGAGGCAUGCUGGAGGUAUCAGAAGUGCGAAUGCUGACAUAAGUAACGAUAAAGCGGGUGAAAAGCCCGCUCGCCGGAAGACCAAGGGUUCCUGUCCAACGUUAAUCGGGGCAGGGUGAGUCGACCCCUAAGGCGAGGCCGAAAGGCGUAGUCGAUGGGAAACGGGUUAAUAUUCCCGUACUUGGUGUUACUGCGAAGGGGGGACGGAGAAGGCUAUGUUGGCCGGGCGACGGUUGUCCCGGUUUAAGCGUGUAGGUGUGUGUUCCAGGUAAAUCCGGUUCACUUUAACACUGAGGCGUGAUGACGAGGCACUACGGUGCUGAAGCAACAAAUGCCCUGCUUCCAGGAAAAGCCUCUAAGCAUCAGGUAACAUCAAAUCGUACCCCAAACCGACACAGGUGGUCAGGUAGAGAAUACCAAGGCGCUUGAGAGAACUCGGGUGAAGGAACUAGGCAAAAUGGUGCCGUAACUUCGGGAGAAGGCACGCUGACACGUAGGUGAAGUGAUUUACUCAUGGAGCUGAAGUCAGUCGAAGAUACCAGCUGGCUGCAACUGUUUAUUAAAAACACAGCACUGUGCAAACACGAAAGUGGACGUAUACGGUGUGACGCCUGCCCGGUGCCGGAAGGUUAAUUGAUGGGGUCAGCGCAAGCGAAGCUCCUGAUCGAAGCCCCGGUAAACGGCGGCCGUAACUAUAACGGUCCUAAGGUAGCGAAAUUCCUUGUCGGGUAAGUUCCGACCUGCACGAAUGGCGUAAUGAUGGCCAGGCUGUCUCCACCCGAGACUCAGUGAAAUUGAACUCGCUGUGAAGAUGCAGUGUACCCGCGGCAAGACGGAAAGACCCCGUGAACCUUUACUAUAGCUUGACACUGAACAUUGAGCCUUGAUGUGUAGGAUAGGUGGGAGGCUUUGAAGUGUGGACGCCAGUCUGCAUGGAGCCGACCUUGAAAUACCACCCUUUAAUGUUUGAUGUUCUAACGUGGACCCGUGAUCCGGGUUGCGGACAGUGUCUGGUGGGUAGUUUGACUGGGGCGGUCUCCUCCUAAAGAGUAACGGAGGAGCACGAAGGUUGGCUAAUCCUGGUCGGACAUCAGGAGGUUAGUGCAAUGGCAUAAGCCAGCUUGACUGCGAGCGUGACGGCGCGAGCAGGUGCGAAAGCAGGUCAUAGUGAUCCGGUGGUUCUGAAUGGAAGGGCCAUCGCUCAACGGAUAAAAGGUACUCCGGGGAUAACAGGCUGAUACCGCCCAAGAGUUCAUAUCGACGGCGGUGUUUGGCACCUCGAUGUCGGCUCAUCACAUCCUGGGGCUGAAGUAGGUCCCAAGGGUAUGGCUGUUCGCCAUUUAAAGUGGUACGCGAGCUGGGUUUAGAACGUCGUGAGACAGUUCGGUCCCUAUCUGCCGUGGGCGCUGGAGAACUGAGGGGGGCUGCUCCUAGUACGAGAGGACCGGAGUGGACGCAUCACUGGUGUUCGGGUUGUCAUGCCAAUGGCACUGCCCGGUAGCUAAAUGCGGAAGAGAUAAGUGCUGAAAGCAUCUAAGCACGAAACUUGCCCCGAGAUGAGUUCUCCCUGAGACUUUAGGUCUCCUGAAGGAACGUUGAAGACGACGACGUUGAUAGGCCGGGUGUGUAAGCGCAGCGAUGCGUUGAGCUAACCGGUACUAAUGAACCGUGAGGCUUAACCUUACA
rnacentral:rRNA from 1 species